GGCAUCUAAGCGUGAAGCCCCCCUCAAGAUGAGAUGUCCCAUUCGAAAGAAGUAAACCCCCUUGAAGACGACGAGGUAGAUAGGGCAGGGGUGGAAGUGUGGUAACACAUGGAGCUGACUGUUACUAAUAGGGUGAGGGCUUGACCAA
rnacentral:rRNA from 1 species